GUGGGGAAUAUUGGACAAUGGGCGAAAGCCUGAUCCAGCCAUGCCGCGUGUGUGAAGAAGGUCUUCGGAUUGUAAAGCACUUUAAGUUGGGAGGAAGGGCAGUAAGUUAAUACCUUGCUGUUUUGACGUUACCGACAGAAUAAGCACCGGCUAACUUCGUGCCAGCAGCCGCGGUAAUACGAAGGGUGCAAGCGUUAAUCGGAAUUACUGGGCGUAAAGCGCGCGUAGGUGGUUUUGUAAGUUGGAGGUGAAAUCCCCGGGCUCAACCUGGGAACUGCCUUCAAAACUGCAUGACUAGAGUACGGUAGAGGGUAGUGGAAUUUCCUGUGUAGCGGUGAAAUGCGUAGAUAUAGGAAGGAACACCAGUGGCGAAGGCGACUACCUGGACUGAUACUGACACUGAGGUGCGAAAGCGUGGGGAGCAAACAGGAUUAGAAACCCCUGUAGUCC
rnacentral:rRNA from 1 species